rnacentral:rRNA from 1 species
CGCGGUGUGCGCAAAGGGGGUAUGGUGCGUAUCUUGAAUGUCAAAACGACUCUCGGCAACGGAUAUCUCGGCUCUCGCAUCGAUGAAGAACGUAGCGAAAUGCGAUACUUGGUGUGAAUUGCAGAAUCCCGUGAACCAUCGAGUCUUUGAACGCAAGUUGCGCCCGAAGCCUUCGGGCC